rnacentral:rRNA from 1 species
ACCCAAUAGAUACCCCGGUAGUCCUAGCCGUAAACGGUGCGCGUUUGCUGUAAGAGGAAUCGACCCCUUUUGUGGCGAAAGCCAAACGCGAUAAAAACGCGCCGCCUGGGAAGUACGGUCGCAAGAUUAAAACUCAAAGAAAUUGACGGGGCCUGCACAAGCGGUGGAGUAUGUGGCUCAAUUCGAUGCAACGCGAAGAACCUUACCUGGCCUUGACAUGCACGUAGUAGAAGGGUGAAAGCCUAACGAGGUAGCAAUACCAGCGUGCACAGGUGCUGCAUGGCUGUCGUCAGCUCGUGUCGUGAGAUGUUGGGUUAAGUCCCGCAACGAGCGCAACCCUUGUGUCCUGUUGCGAUCCUAACGAGAGUUGGGAGCACUCUGGACAGACUGCCUCGCUUAAACGAGGAGGAAGGUGGGAUGACGUCAAGUCAGUAUGGCCCUUACGGCCAGGGCUGCACACGUACUACAAUGGCUGGUACAAAGGGAAGCGAGACCGUCAGGUGGAGCAAAUCCCG